rnacentral:lncRNA from 1 species
GGCCCUGUCACUAAAUCCUGACUUGCCUACACUGGGACUGCAAGACAUGCCUCACCUCCAGGCGGGACCUGCAGCUCUGCCACAGUGACAGCUCAGGGCAGAUAAGAUCAGCCCCUCAGAGUUCCCAUUGUGGCGCAGCAGAGACAAAUCCGACUAGGAACCAUGAGGUGGCGGGUUCAAUCCCUGGCCUCGCUCAGUGGGUUAAGGAUCCUGAGUUGCCAUGAGCUGUGGUGUAGAUCGCAGAUGAGGCAAGCUAAGACACACAGCCACACCUGUGGCAUAUGGAGGGUCCCAGGCUAGGAGUCAUAUCAGAGCUGCAGCUGCCGGCCUACACCACAGCCACAACUCGGGAUCCAAGCUGCGUCUCUGACCUUCACCACAGCUCACUCAACACCGGAUACUUAACCCACUGAGAGACACCAGGGAUCGAACCCACAUCCUCAUGGAUACUAGUCAGGGUACAGGAACUAGAAGAGGACACAGUUCCGGCCACCUAGAGCUUGGGGACUGGUACCAUCGAAGGGACGUGAGACAAGGACCCCCAUUCAACCGACUGGCUCCAAGCUGAGCCUUGGAGAGGUGGCUGGGGACAGGAGGAAAAGACGGAGCCCCCCCACGCAUUGCCAGGAUUUCUCUUUCCGUAUCCCAGCCUCCCUGCUCCCUGGGGCACACAGGUGGAUGGCGGAGGCAGCCAGUGAAGGCACCAACCGAGGGGCAGAACCUCCACAUGCCAUGGGCGCAGGCCAAAAGGAGAGAGUGAUGGAGGGAGGAAGAAACGCUGGGAGACACAACCUCCAAGUCUCAAGUGGAAACGGGGAGAGAGGCGUCAUGGGAGGGAGCAGCUCUCGAAGUCCCAGCUGGCCCCCCCUAGCUUCGCAAGGACAGCGCUACCUCUCCUCAUCUCUAAGACACCAUCCACCACCGUACGGCGCACUUUUCCGUAUCACUCAGAAAGAGAAACCGCUGGCGAUUAAAUUUGCCAACACGAUAUCGUGAGCUUUUUCGGGCACACAGAGUUUGGGGAACUAUAUGAUGGACAGGCACACGCGCGCCACCCAGCCUCUGCCGCUGACAUGUGGUCCUAUCGCACAUCGGUGCCUCGAGCCAUCCAUCAUUCCACCUUUUUUAAAAAAAAUUAUUAAAUAGUUGAUUGACAAUGC